rnacentral:rRNA from 1 species
UACGUAGGGGGCAAGCGUUAUCCGGAAUUACUGGGUGUAAAGGGAGCGUAGACGGUAUGUAAGUCUGGAGUGAAAGGCGGGGGCCCAACCCCCGGACUGCUCUGGAAACUAUGUUACUAGAGUGCAGGAGAGGUAAGCGGAAUUCCUAGUGUAGCGGUGAAAUGCGUAGAUAUUAGGAGGAACACCAGUGGCGAAGGCGGCUUACUGGACUGUAACUGACGUUGAGGCUCGAAAGCGUGGGGAGCAAACAGG